rnacentral:rRNA from 1 species
CUGAACCAGCCAAGUAGCGUGAAGGAUGACUGCCCUAUGGGUUGUAAACUUCUUUUAUAAAGGAAUAAAGUCGGGUAUGGAUACCCGUUUGCAUGUACUUUAUGAAUAAGGAUCGGCUAACUCCGUGCCAGCAGCCGCGGUAAUACGGAGGAUCCGAGCGUUAUCCGGAUUUAUUGGGUUUAAAGGGAGCGCAGACGGGUCGUUAAGUCAGUUGUGAAAGUUUGCGG